UACGUAGGGAGCAAGCGUUGUCCGGAAUCAUUGGGCGUAAAGCGCGCGUAGGUGGUCCCGUAAGUCCGCUGUGAAAGUCAAAGGCUCAACCUUUGAAAGCCGGUGGAUACUGUGGGACUAGAGUACGGAAGAGGCGAGUGGAAUUCCUGGUGUAGCGGUGGAAUGCGCAGAUAUCAGGAGGAACACCAAUAGCGAAGGCAGCUCGCUGGGACGUUACUGACGCUGAGACGCGAAAGCGUGGGGAGCAAACAGG
rnacentral:rRNA from 1 species